AUUGAACGCUGGCGGCAGGCCUAACACAUGCAAGUCGAGCGGUAGCACAGAGAGCUUGCUCUCGGGUGACGAGCGGCGGACGGGUGAGUAAUGUCUGGGAAACUGCCUGAUGGAGGGGGAUAACUACUGGAAACGGUAGCUAAUACCGCAUAACGUCGCAAGACCAAAGUGGGGGACCUUCGGGCCUCAUGCCAUCAGAUGUGCCCAGAUGGGAUUAGCUAGUAGGUGGGGUAAUGGCUCACCUAGGCGACGAUCCCUAGCUGGUCUGAGAGGAUGACCAGCCACACUGGAACUGAGACACGGUCCAGACUCCUACGGGAGGCAGCAGUGGGGAAUAUUGCACAAUGGGCGCAAGCCUGAUGCAGCCAUGCCGCGUGUGUGAAGAAGGCCUUCGGGUUGUAAAGCACUUUCAGCGGGGAGGAAGGCGAUAAGGUUAAUAACCUUGUCGAUUGACGUUACCCGCAGAAGAAGCACCGGCUAACUCCGUGCCAGCAGCCGCGGUAAUACGGAGGGUGCAAGCGUUAAUCGGAAUUACUGGGCGUAAAGCGCACGCAGGCGGUCUGUCAAGUCGGAUGUGAAAUCCCCGGGCUCAACCUGGGAACUGCAUUCGAAACUGGCAGGCUAGAGUCUUGUAGAGGGAGGUAGAAUUCCAGGUGUAGCGGUGAAAUGCGUAGAGAUCUGGAGGAAUACCGGUGGCGAAGGCGGCCCCCUGGACAAAGACUGACGCUCAGGUGCGAAAGCGUGGGGAGCAAACAGGAUUAGAUACCCUGGUAGUCCACGCCGUAAACGAUGUCGAUUUGGAGGUUGUGCCCUUGAGGCGUGGCUUCCGGAGCUAACGCGUUAAAUCGACCGCCUGGGGAGUACGGCCGCAAGGUUAAAACUCAAAUGAAUUGACGGGGGCCCGCACAAGCGGUGGAGCAUGUGGUUUAAUUCGAUGCAACGCGAAGAACCUUACCUGGUCUUGACAUCCACAGAACUUUCCAGAGAUGGAUUGGUGCCUUCGGGAACUGUGAGACAGGUGCUGCAUGGCUGUCGUCAGCUCGUGUUGUGAAAUGUUGGGUUAAGUCCCGCAACGAGCGCAACCCUUAUCCUUUGUUGCCAGCGGUUAGGCCGGGAACUCAAAGGAGACUGCCAGUGAUAAACUGGAGGAAGGUGGGGAUGACGUCAAGUCAUCAUGGCCCUUACGACCAGGGCUACACACGUGCUACAAUGGCAUAUACAAAGAGAAGCGACCUCGCGAGAGCAAGCGGACCUCAUAAAGUAUGUCGUAGUCCGGAUUGGAGUCUGCAACUCGACUCCAUGAAGUCGGAAUCGCUAGUAAUCGUAGAUCAGAAUGCUACGGUGAAUACGUUCCCGGGCCUUGUACACACCGCCCGUCACACCAUGGGAGUGGGUUGCAAAAGAAGUAGGUAGCUUAACCUUCGGGAGGGCGCUUACCACUUUGUGAUUCAUGACUGGGGUGA
rnacentral:rRNA from 1 species